AGCAGCAAUAAGCAGGCAGAGGCAGUCAUCUCCUUCACUUCACCUUGUCUCCGCCGAGAGCAAAUGGCGCUUGCUAGCAAAUGCUCUGCCACUCCAGGUAGCGGUCCUCCGGCUGCUCCGGCCGUGAAGCCAGGUCCAGGUUGCGAUUCUCCAGCUGCUCCGGCUGCUAAGCCUCCAGGUGCUCCAGGUAGCGAUUCCCCGGCAGCUCCAGGAGCUGACCCCCCGGCAGCAAGACCCGAUAAGCCUCCAGCAGGUCAGGCGGGUAAAAAACCUGAGAACAACCCAUUUCCGCCGCCAAUCCUUGAUCCAUGAUAUAUAAUGACAUAAUAGGAACAAAUUAAUCAGCAAUAGUUGGGAUCCAGUAGUGUUCUUUUAGAAGCUAAGAACUGGCCGACUGGGAUCGGUUGUAUCCCUGGUCCAGCAAAUAACUUUGGUUGAGUGCAAUCUUGGUUUCAGGUGAACAGUAUUGUGUGUCAAUUUUAGGUUAAGAUUUUGCUUAAGAUCCACAGUCUGUAUCGAGCCCUCUCUUCUGCUGCUUGCUGCAGUUGAACUUCGCCUUAAAGUUGUAGCUUAUGUUUUAGUUCUGUUGGUAUCAUGCAGCAGCAGCUCAUGUGUUGUCACUGAUCUCCUGAUGUCUCCGAUUUGUUUUUCAUAUUAUAUGGUAAGUUAUUUACAGAACUUUUUUCAAA